rnacentral:rRNA from 1 species
GACGAACCGAGCGAACGUUGUUCGGAAUCACUGGGCUUAAAGGGCGCGUAGGCGGGCUGACAAGUCUGGGGUGAAAUGCCACGGCUCAACCGUGGAACUGCCUCAGAUACUGGCGGUCUUGAGCCAGCUAGGGGCUACCGGAACAAAUGGUGGAGCGGUGAAAUGCGUAGAUAUCAUUUGGAACGCCAAUGGUGAAAACAGGUAGCUGGGGCUGUGCUGACACUGAGACACGAAAGCCAGGGGAGCAAACGGG